ACCCUACCCAAGCUCAGGAAUAAAGAUAUGCAUAUAAUCUAAAAGUUAAAAUGAGGAUAAGAUCAAAUCUCAAUACCUUUGUGCAGAUAGAAAUUUAUCACUACCGAUGAUCUCAAAUUCGAAUGUCCUUGAGCUGCACACGUGUCCGGCCUCUACAGGUAUCCACCAAAAACAAUAUUGAAUCCUUCCUCUCAUGAUAGAUCCUUCUUCUCUAAGUAGGAUCUUUGCUUCUUUGAACCUUGAUCAGUAAAUAAUCUUGAUUGCAACUUCAACCCUUGAACUGCAGCAUUCUUCUCUUUGUUCCUUACUGUAGAAGAGACCCUUCUUCUUCUUGGCAUAUGGAAGAUGGGCAUCCAACCUUUGGGCAUGGGA
rnacentral:lncRNA from 1 species